rnacentral:rRNA from 1 species
CCUACGGGGGGCUGCAGCCGAGAAUAUUCGACAAUGGACGAAAGUCUGAUCGAGCGACACCGCGUGAUGGAUGAAGUCCUCUGGGACGUAAACAUCUUUUAUGAGGGAGAUAGUACCUCAAGAAUAAGGGGUUGCUAAACUCGUGCCAGCAGCAGCGGUAAUACGAGUGCCCCGAGCGUUAUCCGGAAUCAUUGGGCGUAAAGGGUGUGUAGGUGGCAGUGUUAGUCGAUUGUUAAAACCCAGGGCUUAACCCUGGAAGUGCGAUCGAAACGGCACAGCUAGAGGAUGCGAGGGAUGUAUGGAACUCAUGGAGUAGGGGUGAAAUCCGUUGAUAUCAUGGGGAACACCAAAAGCGAAAGCAGUACAUUGGCGCACCCUGACACUGAAACACGAAAGCGUGGGUAGCGAAUGGGAUUAGAUACCCUUGUAGUC